GUGAGGAAUAUUGGUCAAUGGGCGAGAGCCUGAACCAGCCAAGUCGCGUGAAGGAUGAAGGUUUUAUGAAUUGUAAACUUCUUUUGCAGGGGAAUAAAGUACGGUACGUGUACCGUUUUGUAUGUACUCUGCGAAUAAGGAUCGGCUAACUCCGUGCCAGCAGCCGCGGUAAUACGGAGGAUCCAAGCGUUAUCCGGAUUUAUUGGGUUUAAAGGGUGCGCAGGCGGGUUGAUAAGUCAGCGGUGAAAGUCCAUGGCUCAACCAUGGAAUUGCCGUUGAAACUGUCGGUCUUGAGUGUAGAUGAGGUAGGCGGAAUUCGUAGUGUAGCGGUGAAAUGCUUAGAUAUUACGAAGAACUCCAAUUGCGUAGGCAGCUUACCAGGCUACAACUGACGCUGAGGCACGAAGGUGCGGGGAUCAAACAGGAUUAGAAACCCUGGUAGUCC
rnacentral:rRNA from 1 species